UAUAUGUCACAGUAUGUCCCUUUAAGUUCAGUUACAGCAGGAUGGUCUUUUGGUUUGAGGUGGUGCUGGUGGUGCUGUGUGCUGCUGGUGCCUGCAGGCAGUCCUCGGUUGCCCAGGAAACACAGAUGGUGGAUGAAGGGCGUGCAUACAAAAGACCAUAAACCUGUGGCAGCAGCUGGAGACCGAGACCACUGAUUAAUUCGGGUCUGUGCAGUCCCUCUUAUUCAAAGACGUCUCUGUUCUCUCUAAUACCUCCCAUCCAUUUUCUUUGUCCCGGGGCUUCCAUCUCCACUUUCUCCCGUUUCCCUUGGUCUGGUCUCCCGUCAUUGCGCAGCUGUUGUCGGCACUCCCACAUCUGCUUGUCUCGGCGGCCAUGCAGACGACGCUCAGCCGCGGCUCGAGGAAGUGCGUAUAGCGCGUAGGUCCAGGGGGCGACCAGCCUUCUACUGCGGGCUAAUCACAGCGCACACAAGGCAUGCAUUUGCUAGUUCGGCAGUAUGGAAGAAGAAAAAGAAGAAGAAAAAGAAAAAUAAGAAGAUAUUUUCGCGUCGCCUGAUGCUGCGGGUCACGUGCAUUGUGGAACCUGGACAUCACUGGAAACCUUGUGGCCGGUGUUACUGGAUUCAUCUACAGAGCUGCUGUCAUGUCACCAGUCGGGACACUGGGAGGAUCCAAAUCGGAACCAACAGCAGGACAGGUUAUGUGUACAGGCUGGAUUAUAUUUAUUGAAAAAACACAAAGGAUAGUUUUUAAUGGCACACAAUAUCAGAUGUAGAAUUUAGUAGCAUUAGUCAGAUAACUGACACUGUAGCGUAUAUCUGUUGGCAGUAGGUGUACUCAUUUGUCUUAAACCAAAAGCAGUAAGGAGAAACAAUAAUACGAAAGAACAUGUAACAGUUGGGUUGCCUCCCACUUUUCUGCUGCUUUGUGUUGCGUAUUCCUCUCCAGUUACACGGAUGAAGGAGCAGAUCGGCGCUCGCUGUGGACCUCACAGCUCCAUCGCCCUCUGCUGUGCUGCCUCGCAGACUGCAACGAUCGAUGCAUGGUGCCAUCGCCGAUGUCCAGACCCUCCGAAGGAGAGGAUCCCUGUCCAGGUGUUUCCCCACUGAGAGACGACUUCUGCUGCUUUUGUGUAUCACUGAAAAGGGCUUUGAAGAAUUCAAAAUGUCCCUGCUGCUUUGUAGACAGUGUCAACGGCUGGUGUUUUGAGUCCAAAAUAAUUUGCUCUAGCGCUCCUUCCCGUUUCAAAUGUGCACAUUCUCUCGGCUGUGAGUAAUACUAAUAUAGCUUCAUCCACCCCCACAAUCAUGAGUUUUUUGGCUGAUCUAAAACACACUGCAGCCAACAAGCACCUCUCACGCUUGUUUUCUUCAGCUGCGUGUGCAUUGACCUCUUCGCUCCAUGGCUUUGGUUACUCUGUCCAACACGUUGGACACUUUUCCUCGUAUAAGACGCUUUAAAUUCACCAGAAACAAUGUUUUUACAUGUGCUCACUUCUCACCAAAGAUAAAAUUGAACAGUGCCAGAUCCAGAUCUGGAAAGCUUUGAUAUGUUAAGCUUGUGGCAUAAAAGAAAAACAAAUCUGUUUGAAGUGAGAGAGAAUGACUAGUUUUCUCACAUUUUGACAAUGUGUAAUUCACACAAUAUGUUCUUUUUUUGUCUUGAAACCUAACUUAAUUUGGGCGUGAGACCAAUUCUUUUUAAGGUUCUACUGUGUGUACUCUGUAUUUUUACUGUUGUGUGUGGGCAGGUGUGUGUCAGUGUGUGUGUGUGUGUGUGUGUUUGUGUGCAUGUGCUCUAUUUGUUUGUGUGUUUAUUCCUGUAUCUGUGCAUGUGUCUGUGUGAUAAAACACUUUUGUAAUUGUCCUUAAGCAACGACCUGCUUUUCAGUGGAUUUGUCAUUGCUGCACAGAUUUUAAAUGCCUGAAUCUCUCUUCUUUUAACACAUUGAAUGCACCAGACAAAGGAUUAAAACAUAUUUACACAUGGUUCUUAGCAUGUGUUCAGGCCUCAUUGAAGUACCAGUUAGGUGGGGGUUCUUGUGAUCUAAAUAAUCGCAAGAAUGACGCUGGAAAUGAAUGGUGUGUACUUUUCUAAUGCCUUCUGGCAUUAAUGAAACUGUCCCGAUGCCUACUUCCCCAUCAUCUGAUACUUCCGCAAAUUACAGCAAAUGCUAAUAAUUAUGUGCAAAUAGCUUUUUACCCAGGUCUGGAUUCUACUAACAAAAUCUGACUAAUAUCUAACAAUACUAAUGUCUGCUAACAGUCAGAUGACUACUAACCUGUACUCUGAAUGCUGAUGGCUGGCUCUGUUCUUUCUAACCCGCUGACUAACCCUCUGCUUUAUGCCCGCAGUCCGAUGCACAUGCUCCUCUCUCAUGAUCCUGUAAUCCUUCUUCUAGAAAUCACAGACUAAGAUGAAUUAUUAAAGAAGAAAAUGUAUGAAAACUGUUAAAGUAAGCACGUCUAGAAGGGUUUCAGGACUUGGGAAGGGAAAUGUUAUUAACCACUCGAUGGAAAGAGGAGGAGAAUCAGCUGCUGAUAUCAAACUGGGUUGACCAUAUACUUAAGAAUCCUCACAAAACCCAUUAUGAUCUGAUCAAAAUAUAAUAUCACUGCACUGUCUUCACUUCACAGGCUAAAUUCACAUCUUCAGAGACUGUCUUUCUGUCUCUACCUGUGUGGUCAACCCUUGCAGAUGAGUAUCUAGCUUGUUGUCACCACAGGCAAACCUCAACUCCACUACUAACUUAUUACGGUACUGAUACUAACAGUGGUGAGGCUCUUAAGACCCACCUGUCUUACUAACAUCCGUGUUCCUUGUGACGGAAACAUCCCGACGUCUGCAAUCAAAUUAUUCCGUCUCUUUGUUCUUCUUUAAUUAAAUCAAAGCGUGCCUCGUGGCACUAGGGCUGCUUAUUAAAUGUCAGUACAUGGAAGCUUUUAUCCAAAGCAUCUUCUAGUGCCAUGAGUGUGUAUGCUUUUUAGCAAAGGGAGCUAUAGGUCUAACUGUGUCAAUGACCAAUGACAUGCUCUUCAGAAAUCCUUAUAAACACGCUACUAACAUUUCCUAAAGUUAAAUGAACAGGUACUAACCAGAUAGAUUGUAUUAGGUCUCUGCAAACUAACAAACUAACCCACUAAUAAACUAAUAAUCUAACAAAAACUAACUAAAAUCACUAACUUUGUGCUGAGUGGCAGAAUUAGUGAAGCACCCUUUUUUAAGGAGUUGCAUCACUUAUUGAAUGUACUAACAUAAUGUAGUUUUUUAAGAAUGACUUAUUGAUGUGCCUGUGUGUGAAAGAAAGAGCACAACAGUGUGUGUGUGUGUGUGUGUGUUUAUUCUCUCAAACAAGACAUUUAACAUAUCAAUGCAGAUUAUAUUCAUAGAGCCGUUUUAGCCGUUUUAGCAUCCACAGUGACUGACCACUCCUUAAACCUUCCAAACAAUACACUGUGUGAAGUAUCAUGGAUGUAAAGAAAAAUAAAUAUAAUGUACACAACUAGUUUUGUACUAUAUUGCUAAUUUAUCAGUUGUCCUUUUACAUGCUUUUGAAAUAAAAAAUGUUCACAGAUAAAUAAAACAUGGUUUAUUGUAUC